GGUUGGUGAGGUAAUGGCUCACCAAGGCGACGAUCCGUAGCUGGUCUGAGAGGAUGAUCAGCCACAUCGGGACUGAGACACGGCCCGAACUCCUACGGGAGGCAGCAGUGGGGAAUAUUGGACAAUGGGCGAAAGCCUGAUCCAGCCAUGCCGCGUGUGUGAAGAAGGCCCUCGGGUUGUAAAGCACUUUCAGUGAGGAAGAAGGCUUGUCGGUUAAUACCCGACAGGAAAGACAUCACUCACAGAAGAAGCACCGGCUAACUCCGUGCCAGCAGCCGCGGUAAUACGGAGGGUGCAAGCGUUAAUCGGAAUUACUGGGCGUAAAGCGUGCGUAGGCGGCUUGGUAAGCCGGUUGUGAAAGCCCCGGGCUCAACCUGGGAAUGGCAUCCGGAACUGUCAGGCUAGAGUGCAGGAGAGGAAGGUAGAAUUCCCGGUGUAGCGGUGAAAUGCGUAGAGAUCGGGAGGAAUACCAGUGGCGAAGGCGGCCUUCUGGACUGACACUGACGCUGAGGUACGAAAGCGUGGGUAGCAAACAGGAUUAGAUACCCUGGUAGUCCACGCCGUAAACGAUGUCGACUAGCCGUUGGGGUCCUUGAGACCUUUGUGGCGCAGUUAACGCACUAAGUCGACCGCCUGGGGAGUACGGCCGCAAGGUUAAAACUCAAAUGAAUUGACGGGGGCCCGCACAAGCGGUGGAGCAUGUGGUUUAAUUCGAUGCAACGCGAAGAACCUUACCUACCCUUGACAUCGUGCGAACUUGGUAGAGAUACCUUGGUGCCUUCGGGAGCGCACAGACAGGUGCUGCAUGGCUGUCGUCAGCUCGUGUUGUGAAAUGUUGGGUUAAGUCCCGUAACGAGCGCAACCCUUGUCCUUAUUUGCCAGCGAUUCGGUCGGGAACUCUAAGGAGACUGCCGGUGACAAACCGGAGGAAGGUGGGGACGACGUCAAGUCAUCAUGGCCCUUACGGGUAGGGCUACACACGUGCUACAAUGGCCGGUACAAUGGGUCGCAAAGCGGCGACGUGGAGCUAAUCCCAUAAAGCCGGUCUCAGUCCGGAUCGGAGUCUGCAACUCGACUCCGUGAAGUCGGAAUCGCUAGUAAUCGUGCAUCAGAAUGGCACGGUGAAUACGUUCCCGGGCCUUGUACACACCGCCCGUCACACCAUGGGAGUGGACUGCACCAGAAGUGGUUAGCCUAACUUCGGAGGGCGAUCACCACGGUGUGGUUCAUGACUGGGGUGAAGUCGUAACAAGGUAGCCGUAGGGGAACCUGCGGCUGGAUCACCUC
rnacentral:rRNA from 1 species